UGCCCAGAGAAAAGUUGUGAAAUGAUUGUCUGCCGUUGCUUUCACAGAGGGAGAGGCGGCUGACAGAAUGUACCCCAAACCACACACGACAACGUUUUU